GAGUAUCUAUUGCGUAUGCAUUCGAAUUCAUGGAAAUUGAGACCUUAUCGCAGAUCGAAGCGAUAAGACGCACUUGGAACAUCUAUAUUUUUCUAUUUUCGUUUCAGUUCAGCUUUUUACUUCGCCAGUGUUUGGUUCCGAGAAAUGAAUCGUAUCGAUAUGACGAAUUGACGACUGCCUUUUUCAAGUCGUCUUUCCGGUCUCUUCACUCACUACUCAGUGCUGAGUGCUUCGUUUAGUUCUUUCUUUGGUUCGAGUUGACGUUACUCUGUGAUCGAUAUAUUUUUGUCGCGUUUAUUUCGUUGUUCGUGGAACCUGGAGGCUGGAAGUCCUGAAACGUUAGUUCUUUCCUUCUUUCUUUGGAUCGAGUUGACGUUGUUCGUCCGUGAUCGAUAUAUUUUUGUCUCGUGGCCGUCGUGGGUCGUGGUCUCGUUUAUUUCGUGGUUCGUGGAACGUGAAUUUGAAGACAGCUUACUUUUAUGUGAAUUUGAAGACAUCUUAUACCAAUUUUGCUGUACGAGAAAUUUCACUCGGUCGCUUAAGCAAUGUUUGCAUUCUUGUGGAGAGAGCCUCCCAAGUUUGGGAAAUCGAAAAAUGAACUCGAUGAUGAAUCCGAAAUCCUGCAUGUUCUACCAUACCCACGCCAUCAUGCAUCUGUUCGAGUGUUCGCAGCUCCAUUACGAUUUUUGCCCUUCUUCAAAAUAAUACGUAAAUUAAUAGUGCUAAUUCAACUUCAAAGAAGUAGAUGCUGAUAUAGUAAAGUCAGAUUCGUAGAUGCCAUAUCAAGUCUUUGAAAAUGUUGCUCCUAUUUGAUCAUGUUUGGAAAGAUGAGAUUUUCUAAUACUUACUUGGCAUACUUCACCAUACUCAAGAUGCCAAUUAUCUUAUUUGAUGAAAAUAAUGUGGAUAAAUGCACAUGGGCACAGUAGGAGUCGUUAUUAAUAUGAUGCCAUUCGCCAACAAAUAAAGUCAAUAUGGCUCUCUCUCUUUUGAAUUGUUCGCAAUCGUAACAAUAUAACGUAUUGCUGGGGUUUCGACUUUCAAGACUGGAAACAAUUUUGAUGCAGUGGAUUAUUAGAAAACAGGGUUGAAAAAUAUCCUCUCGAGAUGAACCAAUG